rnacentral:rRNA from 1 species
AACGAACGCUGGCGGCAGGCCUAACACAUGCAAGUCGAACGAUGUAGCAAUACAUAGUGGCGCACGGGUGCGUAACGCGUGGGAAUAUACCCUUAGGUGCGGAAUAAUGUCUGGAAACGGACACUAAUACCGCAUAAUGACUCCGGUCCAAAGAUUUAUCGCCUAGGGAUUAGCCCGCGUCUGAUUAGUUAGUUGGUAGGGUAAUGGCCUACCAAGACGAUGAUCAGUAGCUGGUCUGAGAGGAUGAUCAGCCACACUGGAACUGAGACACGGUCCAGACUCCUACGGGAGGCAGCAGUGAGGAAUAUUGGACAAUGGGCGCAAGCCUGAUCCAGCCAUGCCGCGUGAGUGAAGAAGGCCUUAGGGUUGUAAGCUCUUUUAAUAGUGACGAUAAUGACGGUAGCUAUAGAAAAAGCCCCGGCUAAAUUCGUGCCAGCCGCCGCUGUAA